rnacentral:rRNA from 1 species
GAUCAUGGCUCAGGACGGACGCUGGCGGCGUGCUUAACACAUGCAAGUCGAACGAGAAUCUGUGGAACGUAGGAUUCGUCCAAGUGAAGCAGAGGACAGUGGCGGACGGGUGAGUAACGCGUGAGGAACCUGGCCUUUCAGAGGGGACAACAGUUGGAAACGACUGCUAAUACCGCAUAACGACAUGGGUGUCGCAUGGCACUGAUGUCAAAGAUUUAU